UGGGGAAUCUUCCGCAAUGGACGAAAGUCUGACGGAGCAACGCCGCGUGUAUGAUGAAGGUCUUCGGAUUGUAAAGUACUGUCAUUGGGGAAGAACGGUUUUCUUGAAAAGAUUGAGAAGACAUGACGGUACCCAAGGAGGAAGCCCCGGCUAACUACGUGCCAGCAGCCGCGGUAAUACGUAGGGGGCAAGCGUUGUCCGGAAUUAUUGGGCGUAAAGGGCGCGUAGGCGGGCUUUUAAGUCCGGUGUGAAAGAUCAGGGCUCAACCCUGAGAGUGCAUCGGAAACUGGAGGCCUUGAGGACAGGAGAGGAAAGUGGAAUUCCACGUGUAGCGGUGAAAUGCGUAGAUAUGUGGAGGAACACCAGUGGCGAAGGCGACUUUCUGGACUGUAACUGACGCUGAGGCGCGAAAGCGUGGGGAGCAAACAGGUUAGGUACCCUGGUAGUCACGCCGUAAACGAUGAGUGCUAGGUGUAGAGGGUAUCGACCCCCUUCU
rnacentral:rRNA from 1 species